GACGAACGCUGGCGGCGUGCUUAACACAUGCAAGUCGAACGAAGAGCGAUGGAAGCUUGCUUCUAUCAAUCUUAGUGGCGAGCGGGUGAGUAACGCGUAAUCAACCUGCCCUUCAGAGGGGGACAACAGUUGGAAACGACUGCUAAUACCGCAUACGAUCUAAUCUCGGCAUCGAGGAUAGAUGAAAGGUGGCCUCUACAUGUAAGCUAUCACUGAAGGAGGGGAUUGCGUCUGAUUAGCUAGUUGGAGGGGUAACGGCCCACCAAGGCGAUGAUCAGUAGCCGGUCUGAGAGGAUGAACGGCCACAUUGGGACUGAGACACGGCCCAGACUCCUACGGGAGGCAGCAGUGGGGAAUCUUCCGCAAUGGACGAAAGUCUGACGGAGCAACGCCGCGUGAGUGAUGACGGCCUUCGGGUUGUAAAGCUCUGUUAAUCGGGACGAAAGGCCUUCUUGCGAAUAGUGAGAAGGAUUGACGGUACCGGAAUAGAAAGCCACGGCUAACUACGUG
rnacentral:rRNA from 1 species